rnacentral:lncRNA from 1 species
UUAGCCUAGAUAAACAAAAUUCACGAAAUGCAAGAAUGAAAAGGAAACUUAUACUUGCGCAGAAAUCAAUGAAGAUCAAACAAAAAGUAUCAAAUACUAGCAAUGGAGGUGAAAGUGAAAUUUUUUCACAAUUGUCGACAAUUGAGAUCAAUAUCAGUCAAAGCAUGUCAGGUACGAUAGGUUUAAUGCAAUAAAUAUUCACUAUGUCUUUCUUUGUUGUGCAAUAAGUGUAUAUAAGUAAGUACCCAAAGGUGUAAUUUUUAUUACAAGUCAU